UCGUUACUAAUCUGUUAUCGUGCGUACACAGAAGACAUACAAAAAUUACUGUAACUCGAUUUGGCACUUGAAACAGUAUUACGACAGUGAUAACACGAUUGAAUAAAGUAAGAAAAUUACAAUCUUGCAUAAAUAAAUUUUCUAAAAGAAAAAGCUAAGAGCAAUAUCGCACACAUUAUGAUGCAAUCGCUAUGGGCCAUCCUCCUCGUUUCGAUUUUUGAAAUUGUAACAAGUAAUAUGACAUCGCAAUUAACAUCUAGUAAUGAUGAAGAAUAUAAUACAUACAUUGUAUACAAUACAACAAAACAUACGAGUGACAUUUGGAAAACAAUAUCUAAAAAAAAAUCGUAUCGAGAAAAAGAAUCGUACGAUAAUAACUUGGCAGAUUAUAUCUUGUCUAUCUUAAUUGUAACAGUAAUUGCAAUUGGUUUAAUUUUCUAUGCAAUCUACAUCUCCAAUCGCAAUUGGUGUCCGUCCCGAAUCAAUGAGUGCAUUUCUUCCUGUCGAAUAUCUUUUGAUGGUUUACGUUUAUUCUUUUUCUAUCGUGAGCGCCCUAUGCCGGCGCCGCCUGUGCCGCAAACAGUACACGAAUUGCCUUAACUUUUUUCACCGGCAUAAUCACCGUAUUAAUUUGUAAACAACAUUACUGUUGCAAAUCAUUUUUAACAUAUUUUUAAUUUGCGAUAUUAUUAUAAUAUAGACAGAAUUUGACGUAAAUUUUAUGCUAUUUGAACAAUGCACCCUUUAUCUUGCAACUUGUUUAUAAAAUAGAAUAUUUAUUGACAAAUUUAUUGCAUAAUUUGACGAUAAAAAAAAUCAUCAUUGAGAAUUUAUCACUUGAAUUAUAAAACUAGUCAGUUUUAUAAUUCAUUUUGAACUAUUUUGGAAUAGUUCAAUAACACAAUUCAUUCAAAUUAUUGUAAUAAAUAAUUAACUUUAAAUAAUA